GUACUGAUGAAUACUGCGUACUUUAGUCAGUAAAUAUAUAUUAAAUAAAUACACAGCCAGACACCAUGCCAAAGUAAGGUCUUCCUUUAAAAUGACCGGCAUGCUGUUUUUAUGCUGUAUCAUUACUAAAAGUGCGUACAAUU
ensembl:snoRNA